CCUACGGGUGGCUGCAGUGGGGAAUAUUGGACAAUGGGGGCAACCCUGAUCCAGCCAUGCCGCGUGUGUGAAGAAGGCCCUCGGGUUGUAAAGCACUUUCAGUGAGGAAGAACGCCUGGUGGUUAAUACCCAUCAGGAAAGACAUCACUCACAGAAGAAGCACCGGCUAACUCCGUGCCAGCAGCCGCGGUAAUACGGAGGGUGCGAGCGUUAAUCGGAAUUACUGGGCGUAAAGCGCGCGUAGGUGGCUUGAUAAGCCGGGUGUGAAAGCCCCGGGCUCAACCUGGGAACGGCAUCCGGAACUGUCAAGCUAGAGUGCAGGAGAGGAAGGUAGAAUUCCCGGUGUAGCGGUGAAAUGCGUAGAGAUCGGGAGGAAUACCAGUGGCGAAGGCGGCCUUCUGGACUGACACUGACACUGAGGUGCGAAAGCGUGGGUAGCAAACAGGAUUAGAUACCCCGGUAGUC
rnacentral:rRNA from 1 species